ensembl:lncRNA
AAUUAAAUUACACUAUUAAUUUCUUUACAAUCCUCCUUGCUCAUUGUAAGCAGAUUUGCAUAGAUAGUUCACAGCGGGGAGGUGAAAUUGGGGAAAUUGAAAUGAUGAGUGGUUUAAAAUAACUAUUGCAGUUGACAACAUCUGCAGUUUGACCCAAAACUUACAGUUAUAUUUGCUUAAAAAGAAUCAUGAAGUUUCACUUUAUCAGGAAAAAUCCAAUGACACUUAACUAGUCUAUAAAACACUGUGAUGUUUGUUGCAUAGGAGCUAUUGGAUUCUUUUUAAUUGUACAAUUACUUCAGUGCACCCAAAUUCAAUUAAAAUCAAGGAGGAGACUAACUUCUGAUGUCUGUUUUCACACAGUCUCUCAGGCUGCCCGAUAGCUGCUGCAGAAAAGAUCUCCAAACCGCAGGAGGAUCCUGCAAAGUGCAGACAGAUGGCAGAGAGGAUGACGAGACCUUUAGGAAACAUGAAGAAGUUUGACUUCACGUACAGAUUUGCACAUCCUAUGGCAGCGUUGCAGGCCAGCAUGGCCAAAGACAUGGACAAGUACACUAAAGGCCAUUUCGACUACGCCAGUUUUGACGCUCAGGUCUUUGGCAAGCAGGCUCAGAUGGCAUCCGACCAGAGUCACGAAUCUUCCCACUUUCCUGAUGCCGCUCAGUUCCCCUGUUUUCUGGGUCCCGGUGGUCAUAUGAUCAUGGCCGGAGACAACAGCCCCAGUCGCCAUAAAGCCCAAAGCAACGCCCUCCAGUCCAACAUCGCAUCCGCAGCCAUCCUCAACCUCUCCACCCGUUGCCGAGACAACGGCGAGGCCCUGCCCCCCAGCCGGCCCCUGGCAUCAUCCACAAAGGUAAUCAAAUUAGACCACUCAGAAAAAGGUAUUUAAUGUGGUCAUUCUGAAACAACUGUGAUUUGUGUAUGAAAAAGAGGAGUAACAUCAAAAGACACUUUUUGGCACAGAGAACUGUGUUGCCUCUGGUGGCACAACAACAAGAGAGUAGGAGCUUUUUUUUCUUUUACCCACACUGCCCCUAAAGCUUUAAUGUACACAAAGGAGAAUUUGUGUAAUCACAUCAAAAAGAGUUGGGAGGAAUACAAUCACAGCUUCCUUCUCUAUGACAAUUAUAAGGCUUUUUGUAAAACAUGUGGCUGUGCAUUUGAUUUCUGCUUGUGCUAAUGGUAAUGCUGGGUCUUUCUCUUGUUUGCAGGAGAGAGUGGUUUUUUUUUUUUUUCAGUGCAGAUGGUCGAAGACAUUUUGCUAAGUAAUAUAUUAUCCUAGAUAAGCUCACACAGAUCCUUUGGCGUUGAUCUCUAACAGACGAUCUAUGAGAAGUUGGAUUAUAUCAAUUGGUUGUGGAUUAAUAGACAUCACUCUUUUAUUUCAAUUAAAUAAGGAAAGUCUACACAGGCCCUCAGAUCAUGUAUGUUACAGUGUGAAAAUGGAUAUGUGAUGUUAUGAUAGAGUUGUGUUCUUUCAUUUAAGCCUUUGUUUUUAAUAGAACAACAAACUAUUGAUACGCAAAUACUGAUAUAAGUAAAGAUGGAAAACAUGAACAUACAGGCAUAUAUGCAAAUAGUCAAAGCAUGUUCGAGUUCAUUUUUCUCAACAUUUUUCUUUUCAGACAAAAGUGGAAUAAUGCCAACAAAGUGAGCUAUUAUAAUCAUAAAUAUGAAGUUUUCUGGCUUUUUGCAUUCUUGAAACUAUACAACUUUUUUAUUAAAAAUAAGC